GCAUAAGGCGAAAAUUGAAGUGAAGUGACUCUCUUUUUCAGUACUUUUGAAGUAAUUCUGUCUAUAUAUAUGCAGUGGGAGGAAGGGUUGUUGAGUGUUUGCCCCUAUCUUCAGUGUUCCAACUUUCUCUGUCUCUUUGUCAUUUAAGAUUUUACUGUUAUUGUAUGUUUGAUUUUGAGUUCGAGUUUUGUGUUUGAUGUGUGUCUCUUCAACGAAACUGUUGGAUUUGUAGUUCUGUGAAAGAAAAAAGAAGGGUGUGAAGGACAGUUGGGUACGUGUUACCGACACCUGUACGUUCUGCAUGAGAGAGAGAGAGAGAGCGAGAGAGAGAGAGAGACAUGGAAAGAGAAAGAGAAGUGAAUAAGACUAGUGGAUGAUGAUGAAGGGAGAAGAUAGAGAGAAGGGUUUCUUCUUGUUCUUGUUUUCGUUUUCGUUUUCGUUUUCGUUUUGGGGGCAUUUCUAUGAUAUUUCUUCCUUAAGAUUCAUACUGGGUUUGGACUUGGUUUUAGUUUGGUAUGAAUAAAAACCCUAAAAUCGUUUUUGAAGUUCUCCAUUCCUUACUGAAAACGGCAUGGAUCGUGGAUUUUAGGGUCUUACUUUUGGUACCUUUUCCGUAAAUGGGUGUUACUGUGUUCUCAGAUCUGACUCAUUCCUUUUAUUUUUUCUUUCUUUUGGGUCUAUGUGUAACUGUUGUUUCUUCGUUUUGGUAAAUUUUUGUGUGGUUGGUCUGUUUCCUUGUAUGGGAAUACGCUUUACCCUUUCAUUCUUUACUCUUCUUCUUCUUCUUUCUCCUUCAUCAUCUUCUUUGUUCUUCUAUUCUCUCAUUCUUGGGACAUAGAAAUUGACAGAAGAGAGUGAGCACACAGAGGCACUUGUAUAAGUCUAUACUUUUGCUUUUGCGUGCUCACUUCUCUUUCUGUCAGCUUCCAGUGCCGGAAUUUGAUCAUCCUUUGUUGGUCACCUCUUGGCGAGUUUUGUUCCAUUCUCACUCUCUUCUCGUUUCUCCCCUUACUUCCUUACUUUCCCUUCUCUCUCUCUCAUUCUUGACUCUGGGAGUAGUUUGAACGCGACGGCAGUGAAGAUACUCUAUUCGAAGAGGAAUAUGGGUGUGCCUACUGAUGAUCUUUUCUGUGUCUUUUCUUUAUUUCCCUACAGAGCUUGCUCUCAAUAUGAGUAAUUUAUGCCUUUAAAUCUAUUUAUUUAUAUACAAUUAAUAUCUCCAAAGCGUGGCUUUUUAUGUUAUUUACUGUUGGGGUACGCCUGAUUACUGUGCGGAUUUAGCGUCAAAACUAUGAAUAAACAUGGGACCAUUUACGAUAUACAUAGCCUACUUAGUAGCUAGUUAGUAUGGUCCUCACUCAACAGACCCCUUCCCUUUCUCUUUUUUCUUCAGUGAUUUGCUUCUUGUUUAGUACUAUCUCCUUCAUGUUUUUCCCUUUUUUAUUCCUUCGCAUGCAAUCAUAUAUUCACUCAGAGAAAUUUUUGUCCUGAUUGGAGUUUGCUCUCACCUAAAUCUACCAGAAUCAGGCUGUUUUACUACUCUCAGCUUGCAAAUUAGUAUAACCCUAUCCUUGUAACAAUAACGGUUGCUUGUUUUACUGCCUGCUGAUGGAUGCUCUCCAAGUUGUGUUUUUUUGUGCAAAUUUAGUCAAAAUUGAUUCAUUUCCCAGAUUUCCAACUUCUGAUUUGACAGUGUAUUUGCCUGUUCUUCCCUUGUGAUUUGAUGAUUUAGUGAGUUCAGCUGACAAAAAGAGCAUCGGGGACUAGGAUUUAGGGCGUGUGAUGAUGAGUUUUCAUCAGCGAUUUCCCGCAUCUGUUUUCUCUCCUGCUUUUUUUGAUGUUCCUUUUGCAGGUAGGCAGGCAUUUGAGUUUUGUAACUCUCUGGAUGGAAGUUUUGGUAUUAACUCUUUCAUCUGUCUUGUUUAUGCAUACUGUGUUCAAGUCUUUAUUAUUUCUCGUACCUCCUUUAGCUUUUAGUUCUAUAUCAGAUUGCAUUAAGGUAAAGAGUUGCAUGCAAUCAACAAUUUUCGAACUAUAAGAUUAUGGUUUCUUUUGGGAAAUGAAAACAUUCCACUUACCUGGUGCAUGUGUUUGCAUUUUUGUUGAUUUUGAAACUAAAGUAAUACUUGGUUCUGCCUUGUUUGAAUGAUUGCUUCCUUUGUAUGUUAGAAUGUAUCUCAAGGUUGGGAGUCCUGGCAAAAACUAGUAGUUUGCCUCGUAGGAUGCCUCUGUUAUUUAUGCCUAAUUAUAUUCUAUAUCUGAUACCGGAUUUACUUGUCAACUGAUAUCAGAAAAAAGGUGAAUUGCAUUUCCCAUGUGGUUAAGUUGAUCAUUUCAUGCAACUGAUUGGUAUUUGACAUCUUACCUUGAUUUCAAGAUAAAGGUAAAGCCUUUUAUCCAUUCAACAGUUUUUGAAUGGUAUAGUAAUCUGGUGCAUCGAUGUUUUGAAUCAAUCGAUCCGAUUCUCAGGGUUUGUAUACCAUUGGCAAAGCCUUGCCCAUGUAAUCCACCUCCUAAGCUAGUCUCCUUUGGAUGAAUUAUCUGCCCUCCUUUAGUCGUUUGAUCAAAGUAUAGUUUGGUGCUACGGGAUAUCAUACACCAAUGGUACCAUCAUGACCUCCUCAAAUUUGGUUCAAGGGCUUCAAAACAAUGUGAAUGCAGCUCUUUUUGGAUGUACUGAAACAGCUGGUGUAAAAUGAAUUGAUGAUCUGUUGGCAAUAUCAAUGAUAGGUGCUAUUCUUUCUGUUGUGUACGUGGACAGCAUUAAAAAUGGGCAGCUUCCCCCCUUUAGUGUUUUAAGAGAGCUCUUUACAUUUUGACAGUGAUGCAUCAAAUUGAUUUUGUUGCAUGAAAAGGGAGACAUUGCACUUAUUGAUACAUUCUCCUGCAAUUUUCAAUCAUGAAAAUUCAAAUUGGAUGUUGCCGCUCAGGAGUGUGAAAGAUGGAAGUGUAUAUGUGGAGCUAUAAUUCGAGUUUUGGACCAUCUUCUUGUGACUUAAUCUGAAGGAAUCAAACUUUAUGAAGGCAGAAAGAACAUUUGACAACGCUACUAGUCAAGCACAAGACUUGAGAAGGAUUGUCUGAAACCCCAUGGCAGGCGCACGCGUUCGUAGUUGGGUGGGGCCGUGAAGCUAAGAAGCCAUUGAUUGCAGGAUUAAUUGAAGGUUAUAUCUAUUACAGUUGAAUCUGGAUGUUACUUGGUGUGACCUCACAUUAGCUCGAGUGGUGGAAAAAGGUUGUUGCCCAUGAAUCCAGCUGUGUUGUUCUUCAAUGUCUUGUAAGAGAAUAAGAUGCAAAGGAAUGUGUGGAUAGCAAAAAACACAUGGUUGUACGACUUGUGGGACUAUUGCACAAAGAAAGACUAAAAUUGCUAUCUCGAUCAUGUCUUCCUCAAGGCGAGGCACGGCAAUCAGACUAAAAUUGCUAUCUCGAUCAUGUCUUCCUCAAGGCAAGGCACGGCAAUCUGUUGGCAUUGAGAUAUUCUGCCUUCCAGUUUAUGGUGAAAAUGAUUUGUUAAGGGUAGAAAUUUUCUAGCUUUGAACAUUCUGCUCUUUUAACCCUUUUUCCUGUAAUCGAUAUCAGGGAUGGAUUUAUGACUGAAUAAUCAAUAUUCAGAAGAGCUGGUGCACCUUGACAACUAAUAAGGGUUUACAAAUAGCAAAUAACUACCCAUUCUUUCA